UACGUAGGGGGCUAGCGUUGUCCGGAUUUAUUGGGCGUAAAGAGCGUGUAGGCGGCCAGGUAGGUCUGCUGUGAAAACUCGAGGCUCAACCUCGAGACGUCGGCGGAAACCAUCUGGCUAGAGUCCGGUAGGGGAGACUGGAAUUCCUGGUGUAGCGGUGAAAUGCGCAGAUAUCAGGAAGAACACCCGUGGCGAAGGCGGCUCUCUGGGACGGUACUGACGCUGAGGAGCGAAAAGUGUGGGGGAGCGAACAGG
rnacentral:rRNA from 1 species